rnacentral:lncRNA from 1 species
AAUGAUAAAUAUAAGAAACUUAUUUGUAUGUUUUUUGUGUUUGUUUUUGAAUGACAUUUGGAUUAUAUUGUACUUUUUAUUAUUAUUUUGAAUUGUCUUUAACAUAAUUUUUUGGGAGUGAAAAUUGUUUAAAUUUAAAUUACAGAAAAUUUGUAUUUUUUUUUAUUUUAAAAAAAUGUAAUUAAAUGGACUAGUGAGCCAACCCGUUUACCCACCAACCCGUGGUGGGUCGGGCCGGGUUCAAGUUUUUCUAACUCGCUAAUAAAUGGGACAGAUUGGGUUGGCUCACUAAGUGACGAACCCGUGGUGGGCUGGGCCGGGUCGAGUCGGGUUAUCUGUUUUGACAGCUCUACUUUUAUACAUGUAGGUCGGGUUUGGGUAUCAUACUAUCCCGACCCCUUAUUAUCCCUAGAUGUACCCAC